AGAAAACACCUGUAGGUGACAUCAACGUACAAAUUAGAUCAACUGAUCAACUAUAAAUGAAUUUGCCUUAGCUGGAAAAAGUCUACAUAGAAAUCAGAUCGUGAACCUCCUAGUACCUCCCGCACUGUACCUCCCAACGCCCACUACUCUCCCCCUCACUCUGGUCCCCAGGAUGUGAAGGACCAUGGGACCCAACACCACCACAGCUUCAUUGUGUUAAUAGAACCUCGUCCGCGGGGAGCCUGUCGUUUGCCUUGCCCACGCAACGAUCCCUGACGUCAGGACUUGGAAUCACACUCCUGACAUGACACAGCUGGCCGUGGCCAAAGACAUACCUGCGACUGUGACUACUCAGCAGCAGGAAAUGGAAAAUCCUGAACCUGAGAUCCAACAAUUUGGUCCAAAUGACAGCGCCGCACAAGCACAAGCGCCGCACACCCGCCGGGCAGAGAGCACAAGGCCGCAGCCCGCACCCUGUGGCGCUCUGCACGACGACCUGGGUCGCGGUGUCCCU